rnacentral:lncRNA from 1 species
GUUAACAUCAAGCCAUUGAUUGUGUGUUUUUCUUUAUUUUGGCUCUUAACAUCCUUGUUCAGCCUUAUCCAGGUCGGUUUUGCUGUUCUCUGUCUCCUAGGCCAACAGGCUUGCCUGAGGAGAAUCAGAACUACUUGUUAGGUUUUGGUUAAUAGGUGCUUGGCAGGUGGCUGUGGGAUUUUUGUCCUUCUUUCUUCUUAAAUCCACCACAACAAACGAUUAAUCACUUUAAUAGAAGCAUUGAACACCACAAAACUAGAGAAAAUUCAGGUCUGUAUGUCAUUUAUCAUGCUGAUAUUUCCAGAGAAAUGCUGGGUUUUUUUCAGUUGCCACAGCUUCCUCGGGUGGCACUGCCGUCUGUCUCCUCUCUUGGGUCUUCCUCAUUGUACCUCGUUCCCACAGCAUGCACACGGAUGGGUUGAAAAGCUGUUGGGUUGUAGAAGCUGGCGGUCAUUUUGAGAAGGUUCGUGGUCGACCUGUUGCAUGUGCGUUCAGCCUUUUUUACAAGUAAUAGCAUGAACUGCUGAGAUAGGUAACAACACCAGAUUUGUUUGUUUCUUUGUUUUAUUUAGGCA